ACAGGCCUGAGACACCGCGCCCAGCCAAGUCACGUGUUUUAUGAAGAAUUAGGAAACAUUAAUUUGAAUCCUGACUUUAUUACCAGCUAGCUGGGUUGCCUUGAGCAAGUCAAAGCCAAGUCAAUUUUUUGGUUUGUUAGCUGUACAUAUAAAUACAGAUUAUAAUAGCUAUUACUUAUUGAAAAACUCCUGUGUAUCAGGGAUUGUAUGUAUGUUACUCACAAAUACUAUAGUAACAGUGUCAGAUAGACACUAUUUUCAUUAUACAGAUCAAAAUGGUGAGACUCAGAGAAAUUAGGUGUAACAUCCGAGGUCAUAUGGUAACUGCAGGACAGGGUCGUGAUUUGAAGCCAAGCUUGUCUGACUCACAAGCCUGGGCUAUUUGCCUUUAAAGUGAGGGGUUAUGUAAGGCAUUCUCUAAUUGGGUCAUCCUGGAAAUACAGACUGAGUAUGUGAUUUCCACAGAACAAGGCAGGCAGAAGGCCCUCCUCCUCUACACCUCAGAGGGUUCUGAAUGAAGAUUGUGCCAAUUAAAAGGUGCCCUGGUUGGCCACAAAGCCCAGAACUAGAAAUAGAAGGAACACAAUGGAAACACCAGCUGUCGGAAGCUGCAGCAGGACCUCAAGAAUGAUGCUGCAAACAUCUAAUGAGAAAUAGAAAACUUCUUACAAGUCCCAUAACUAAUGUCGAUGAGACAAUGCUGAAGACGAGCCUGAAUUUAAUAAAUCUUUUAAUAUUUCCACAGCUGGGCCUGCUUACUCGGGGCUGGUGGACCAUUUUCUUAAAUAAGGCAUGGCGCUGGUCUGACAUUAGUUUAACAAGAUCUUCAGAAUGAUAAUUAGUGUCAUCAUUGUCAAGUUCAAGUUCUCCUGACUUGUUGAAAAGCCAAAAAUACAUAUUGUGACAGGGAAGUUCCCAUCAAAGAGUAGUAAGGAGAAUACCAAUUGGGAAAGGACAACUUCAUAAAAAUAAACAAGUAUGGCAUAAUGGUUUGUGAAGCUGAUUCUUCUGGAAUGAAUAAUAAAAGCAAAAUACAUGAAGGCACCCAGUUCUGUAAGCUCCUAAAUUCAAAUACUCCAAUAUGAUUACCUUGAUUAAACAAUAAAUAAAACAUACCCUGAUGGGUAAUUUUGUCAUGGAGCCUCUACAUUCUUAAUGAAAUCCAUCUGAACAUUGCUUAAUACAGUCGUAGAAGAGUGCUAAUUUAACCUGACUUCAACAAAUGCUUUAUUUUACCUCAUCUACAUAAAUAAGGUGUGUUCACAGUUCUAAAACAUGACAUGAAUAUGAAGAUUAAGCUACACAUUGGAUUGUAGGGGAGGAUACCUGGAUUUGGCUCACUCCACUAAACCAAAAUAUCACCAGCCAUUAUUAUCUAAAAGAAAUACUGCACACAUCUCAGCUGAACACUGAUUUUUCCAAAUGCUUUACGUUUAAAAAAUAGUAAUAAUGUAGUGUUUGGAAAUAAUGUGUAAAAAUAGAGUGUGAAGCAUUAUUAGGAACAGAUUUAUAAACAGAGGCAGAGGGUAUCUACAUGAAAAAACAUGGCUAAGCUCUGCUAAUAAUCAAGUCUUUGAAACAAAAGCUCGCUGGAUCUUUAGCUCCUCCAAAGCAAGAGAUUUUGUUCAUUCAUCUUCUUAUCCCCAGGGCACAGAAAGGUAACACAUGGGAAGUCAUUGAGGAAGGUUAAAUAAAUAAAUAGGUGUUUCCACUGAAAUUAUACCCAGUAAGAUGCAUUCAAUAAGAUUCAAGUACCCAGUUAACCAUUGCUGAGAAUUACUUAUUCUGUAAAAUUUGAUGCUAUAAUUGGAUUUCCUAGGAAGUUUUGAGACUAUGUGGUGAAAUACUCUAGCAAUCUCAUGGUCCAAAGCACCAAAGACAAAAAAUCAGUCUUAGCAUUGUAGGUUGGGUAGGCAUAAUUUUAGUUUGAAGUUUAAAAUAUGAGUCUCGGCGGGGUGUGGUGGCUCAUACUUUGGGAGGCCGAGGUG
rnacentral:lncRNA from 1 species